CAGUUUAUUAAUUUCAUGUCUUUCUCAGUUGUUGGAUUAGACAUCCAAGAUGAAAUGGGAAGACAUGAAGUUGGCCAUAUUGAAAACUCCAUGAAAUCACCUCUAAAUAAUGGCCAGGGCUGCUCGUUUGAAGGACAAUUUAGCAUAAAUAAGGUACCAGGCAAUUUCCACAUAUCUACGCACAGUGCAACUGCACAACCAGAUAAUCCAGAUAUGACUCAUGUAAUUAACAAACUGACAUUCGGAGAAAUGAUAGAGGU